UGAGGAAUAUUGGGCAAUGGAGGCAACUCUGACCCAGCCAUGCCGCGUGUAGGAAGAAUGCCCUAUGGGUUGUAAACUACUUUUAUACAGGAAGAAACACUGGUAUGUAUACCAGCUUGACGGUACUGUAAGAAUAAGGACCGGCUAACUCCGUGCCAGCAGCCGCGGUAAUACGGAGGGUCCGAGCGUUAUCCGGAAUCAUUGGGUUUAAAGGGUCCGCAGGCGGUCAAUUAAGUCAGAGGUGAAAUCCCAUAGCUCAACUAUGGAACUGCCUUUGAUACUGGUUGACUUGAGUCAUAUGGAAGUAGAUAGAAUGUGUAGUGUAGCGGUGAAAUGCAUAGAUAUUACACAGAAUACCGAUUGCGAAGGCAGUCUACUACGUAUGUACUGACGCUGAGGGACGAAAGCGUGGGGAGCGAACA
rnacentral:rRNA from 1 species